UACAGAGGGGGCAAGCGUUGUUCGGAAUUACUGGGCGUAAAGGGCGCGUAGGCGGCCGCCUAAGUCAGACGUGAAAUCCCUCGGCUCAACCGGGGAACUGCGUCUGAUACUGGGUGGCUUGAAUCCGGGAGAGGGAUGCGGAAUUCCAGGUGUAGCGGUGAAAUGCGUAGAUAUCUGGAGGAACACCGGUGGCGAAGGCGGCAUCCUGGAUCGGCAUUGACGCUGAGGCGCGAAAGCCAGGGGAGCAAACGGG
rnacentral:rRNA from 1 species